AGGGCCAGAUCCAGAACAGUUUCUACUAGACCAGGCCCAGAUCCAGAACAGUUCCUACUAGACCAGGGUCAGAUCCAGAACAGUUCCUACUAGACCAGGGUCAGAUCCAGAACAGUUCCUACUAGACCAGGGUCAGAUCCAGAACAGUUCCUACUAGACCAGGGUCAGAUCCAGAACAGUUCCUACUAGACCAGGGGCAGCUGUCAGCGCUCAACAGCUGAGCCCGAAAACCAGCUCUUCUCUCAUUCUCACCCUCCCUCUGUUCCACUAGACUUCCGAUCAUGUGUUCUGUCUGUGGGUAUAAACAUCUGCUUUCCCUUUAACAUAUCUGUCCCAUGCGUUUUAUGAAGGCAUAUCAUCAUUCAAUAUCGUUGUUCACUGAAAGUCAAACGCACACAUCCAAGUUUCCUGCUGCGUUAUUUUAGCUAGAGAGUGUGUAGAUGGAUAGACAUGACCCACACGUGUUUAUCUAACGCUAGUAUCAUUCAAUCAGCUCAGCAGCUGAUCCUGUUGAAACACCAGAUCUUCCUGUAAUGGUGACAGAGUUGUCAUCUGGGGUGUGUGGAUCCAGAAUGUACUAGUGUUGAUAACUCACUGAUAUCCGGAUUGGUUAUCCAAGUCACUGUGAUAUGUCGUCAGGGGUAACCAAAGAACUAAGGUUUCAUAUCUGCUGUUUUAACUGAUAUCUUAUGUUGCUUGUGUGUGUGUGUGUGUAUGUGUGUGUAUCUGUGUGUGUGUGUGUACAUAUUAUAUGUGUGUCAAAGUAAACAUAGUGCCUAGGCCACGAGUCCUCCUGAACUUUUGGGCCGUCUGCAAACAAAUAAUGAAUUGAACAUGAAUUGAUGAAUCAUGAAUUUGAAGAUGUACAGUACGUAUGACUGUGGAUGCUAUGUUGCCCAUGAAGGCUUCAUUAGCCUGUUGUUGGUGGUGUACUGUAACACUGUGGAAUGACAGACAACCCCUCCACUGAAACUAUUGGGACUGUUGCCAUUGCUGACUGACUGAAUCAUGCUUCUUGCACUGGAGUGGAUCAACCCUCGCAGAGUUCCUCAGACAAGACUUCUGUCUUCCAUUCAGGACAAAUGAAACAUAUACUAUCCUAUUUGUGCGUGUUUCUCGACUGUCCUACAUUGUGCCUCUCAAGGGGGUGGAAACUGAGGAGUCCAUGUUGGAUCUAUGCUGUGUCAACUAUCUGAAUGAAGCGACUAGGCUUCCUCUGGGUCGUAUUCACUAGGCACAAAAUGGAAGAAAAUGGACUGAAAAGGGGAAGGAGUACAUGAACUUGUCCAAUAAGAAACUCUGGUUUUUGUUUUGCGAAACAUUUUCCGUUGCAGAACGUUUUGCUACGGUGUACACUAAUGAAUAUGACCCCGGUUGUGAGGAUUACUUCACUGAGUAUACAAAACAUUAAGAACACAUGCUCUUUCCAUGAGAUAGACUGACCAGGUAAAUCCAGGUGACAGCAAUCCCUUUUUGAUGUAACUUGUUAAAUCCACUUGUAGAUGAAAGGGAGGAGACAGGUUAAAGAAGGAUUUUUAAGCCUUGAGACAUGGAUUGUGUAUGUGUGCCAUUCAGAGGGUGAAUGGGUAAGACAAAAUAUUUAAGUGCCUUUGAACGGGGUAUGGUAGUAGGUGCCAGGCGCACCGGUUUGUGUCAAGAACUGCAACGCUGCUGGGUUUUUCACAUGCAACAGUUUCCUGUGUCAAUCAAGAAUGUUCCACUACCCAAAGGACAUCCAGCCAACUUGACACAACUGUGGGAAGCAUUAGAGUCAACGUGGGCCAGCAUCCCUGUGGAAUGCUUUCAACUUCUUGUAGAGUCCAUGUCCUGAGAAGUUAGGCUGUUCUGAGGGCAAAAGGAGGUGCAACUCAAUAUUAGUAAGGUGUUCUUAAUGUUUGGUAUACUCAGUGUAUACUAUAAUGCAUUGUGCCUCUCAAGGGGGUGGAAACUGAGGCUAGACUGGGCCUGACUGAAGGCUGGCUGGCCUGAUGCAUUAUGACCUGAAGCUCACAGGCAUUUACAAUGCCCUCCACCAAUACCCUGGACUGUUACUGUUAGGUUGAAUGCCCUCCUCCAAUCCCCUGGACUGUUACUGUUAGGUUGAAUGCCCUCCACCAAUACCCUGGACUGUUACUGUUAGGUUGAAUGCCCUCCACCAAUACCCUGGACUGUAACUGUUAGGUUGAAUGCCCUCCUCCAAUCCCCUGGACUGUAACUGUUAGGUUGAAUGCCCUCCACCAAUCCCCUGGACUGUUACUGUUAGGUUGAAUGCCCUCCACCAAUCCCCUGGACUGUAACUGUUAGGUUGAAUGCCCUCCUCCAAUCCCCUGGACUGUAACUGUUAGGUUGAAUGCCCUCCACCAAUACCCUGGACUGUAACUGUUAGGUUGAAUGCCCUCCUC